rnacentral:rRNA from 1 species
GACGAACGCUGGCGGCGUGCCUAAUACAUGCAAGUAGGACGCAGUUGCGAACGGGUGAGUAACGCGUAGGUAACUGCCUAUUAGAGGGGGAUAACUAUUGGAAACGAUAGCUAAUACCGCAUACUCGUAGAUGGACCUGCGUUGUAUUAGCUAGUAGGUAGGGUAAUGGCCUACCUAGGCAACGGUAAAUAGCCGACCUGAGAGGGGGAUCGGCCACACUGGGACUGAGACACGGCCCAGACUCCUCCGGGAGGCAGCAGUAGGGAAUCUUCGGCAAUGGGGGGAACCCUUACCGAGCAACGCCGCGUGAGUGAAGAAGGUUCUCGGAUCGUAAAGCUCUGUUGUUAAGGAAGCGGUACUUAACCAGAAAGGGACGGCUAACUACGUGCCAGCCGCCGCGGUAAUUC